UCUAAUACCGGAUAACACUCUGUCCCGCAUGGGACGGGGUUAAAAGCUCCGGCGGUGAAGGAUGAGCCCGCGGCCUAUCAGCUUGUUGGUGGGGUAAUGGCCUACCAAGGCGACGACGGGUAGCCGGCCUGAGAGGGCGACCGGCCACACUGGGACUGAGACACGGCCCAGACUCCUACGGGAGGCAGCAGUGGGGAAUAUUGCACAAUGGGCGAAAGCCUGAUGCAGCGACGCCGCGUGAGGGAUGACGGCCUUCGGGUUGUAAACCUCUUUCAGCAGGGAAGAAGCGAAAGUGACGGUACCUGCAGAAGAAGCGCCGGCUAACUACGUG
rnacentral:rRNA from 1 species